rnacentral:rRNA from 1 species
GACAUAAGGUGCGAGCGUUAUCAGGAAUCACUGGGCGUAAAGGGCAUCUAGGCGGUUUAUUAAGUCAGGGGUGAAAAGCCGAAGCUCAACUUUGGUCUUGCCUUUGAAACUGAUAGACUAGAAUACGGGAUAGGAGGGCGGAACUACAAGUGUAGAGGUGAAAUUCGUAGAUAUUUGUAGGAAUGCCGAUGACGAAGGUAGCUCUCUGGACCGAUAUUGACGCUGAAGUGCGAAAGCUAGGGUAGCAAACAGGAUUAGAUACCCUGGUAGUCCUAGCUGUAAACGAUGAUUACUGGGUGUGGGGGGUCGAACCUCUGUGCCGAAGCUAACGCGAUAAGUAAUCCGCCUGGGGAGUACGGUCGCAAGACUGAA